rnacentral:SRP_RNA from 1 species
ACGCCAACGGCAAGCCCGUUGGCAAGAAGCGGUCGAAGAAAGAGCAAAAGGCCGCCGAGGGCGAAGGCGCCCUCGAAGGCUACAUGCUCACCUCGGGCGACAUGGUCCUCGUCGACAAGGAGAA